CACGUAGGGGCGAGCGUUGUCCGGAAUUACUGGGCGUAAAGGGCGCGCAGGCUGUUAUGCGAGUCUGCUGUGAAAUGUACCGGCUCAACCGGUGCCUUGCGGCGGAUACUGCAUAGCUGGAGUACUGGAGAGGGAAGUGGAAUUCCCGGUGUAGCUGUGAAAUGCGUAGAUAUCGGGAGGAACACCGGUGGCGAAGGCGGCUUUCUGGCCAGUUACUGACGCUCAUGCGCGAAAGCUGGGGUAGCGAACCGGAUUAGAUACCCGU
rnacentral:rRNA from 1 species